AAAAAAUCCUAGUGUUGAUUGUAUUACAUAGUGAUGUGCAUAGUGAUUUGUUAUAAUUUAUUUCGAGAAAGAUUCAAGAUUUAUAUUUUGUCAGGAUCUGUCAUCGAAGGAAAAAGAUAAUGACAAAGGGCUUCUUGAUUGUGUAGAAAAAAGAAUUUAUCCAAUAAGAUGAUGACAGAAUGAAAUUGCACUAGCCUAAAAAGGAAAGGAAGAGGAAUGAUGGUUGGUUGCGCGUGCUAAAUAUGAUAUCUGCAUACAGAGUGUUUCAAACUUGGAUAUACAAAUUUUAAGGGUUCCAAGGAUACCAAACAUAAUUUCGAACAGGAAAGAAAGAUUUUACAGCUCGAUUUUUCCAUGUGGCCGAGCCCCAAGCUACACUCUUCCCACGAAUUUCAUUCUCGAUAAGCGGACAAGAUUUAACUAAGAUCAACGUAUUAGUACGGCCAAAGAAGAUUUAAUUUUCGACCUCCAAGAGUUUCAAAUUCCAAUUCGUCAAAUUUUACUUCGAAUUCGUACUGAUUCGCUACUGGUCGCACAAUUUUUUGAAGAAAAUUUAACUUUCAACGUGUUGAGAAGCGGCACGCGCGACAGUUCACCAAAAUGGCCAAAGAGGACUUGGCGAGGGAUCGAGUAGGGGGGAACCACUUUGCUUGGCAAUCGCGUCACGCUCGUUUACGCUAGUUUACGCCAGUUUACACAAGCGAUAUUACGUUAAGACCUAUCUUUAUGAGAACCGACAACGUCCCAUGGGGAAAUAUCCCGGGGUUUCAACGUUAUUGGUGGACAAGAAAAAGGGAG